rnacentral:lncRNA from 1 species
UAGGUUUCUCUUACCUGUGACCUAAGCGUAUGUCAAGCCCUUUUGCUAGUGUAUUGAUGACAGGACGAUAUCCUCGGACCAUAAGACCAUGUCCACCGGGAAGCAAUUCUUCCUGUACAUCACAAAAGUGAAUAUGUAAGACAUAUUUGAAAUAAUGUUUGCAACCCACCGGGAAGCAAUUCUUCCUGUACAUCAUAAAAGUAAAUAUGCAAGACAUAAUAGAAAUAAUGUUUGCAAGGACUGGAAACUGCAUACAGUAGUUUGACCUUACUCUUUAAUAUCUACUGAUACAAGCAUAAAAAUACAAUUACAUCCAUAACACAAAUAGGAGCAUGUUUAUGUUCCAGAACCUCAGACAUCUUACAAUACAGUUACUUUGACACACGAACAGGUUACAAGAUCUAAGCUUUGCUUAGAAUCUUAGAAUUAGGAGGAUUCAUUCUAAUACAUGGGAUUUCAACUUUUAACCCGUUAAUUACAAAACUAAAUCCCCAAGUACUUGCAUGGAGGAACGCUUCAGUUAUAUUUCAUAACAAAUGGUCGAACUUCUCACAACAAUAGAAUACAAACUAGAACCUGGAGAUAAAAGAAAAGUUAUUGGUCCUACAAUAAGAUAAGUCUCGCCCGCUAUUUGUAUGAUUUCAUUAUGUAUCAGUCUCCUCCUCGCAGACACAGGUGGAUGUAGUGGAUCUAGCAAAGGAAACAGUUGGAAGUAAAAUUUAGAAUGGCUAUAUCCUGCUCGCCUAAAAUCAAAAUCCAAUUUCUAUCCUAUAGCAUCAUCAGUCCAUCUCCAAUGUUAGUCUAUUUCUUGCACCAAAGCAACAGUAUUUCUUGCACUAUUAUAGAGCAUGAAUAGUGUUGCACCAAAUUUGGUGCAACACUAUUAAUCACUCUAUAUUUGAUUUAUUAAUAUUUU